rnacentral:lncRNA from 1 species
AGCUGAUUAGAUGGUGCCCACUCAGAUUAAAGGUAUUGGGAGAAGGAGAGGCUGUCAACCCAUGCCACUAUGCUAUCUCUAAUUCUGCCAUCCAGACCGAGCAAACGUACUUAAGACCUUUGUGUAAGAUCAGAAAAUCAUAAGACAGCAUUAAAAAGUACUAUACAGGAGGAGAUGGAACAAGAUGGCCAAAUAGAAGCCUCCAGCAAUCAUCUCCCCGAAAGGAAUUGAACAACUAUCAAAACAAAAUUGAACAACUAUCUAAACAAAAAAGUACCUUCAUAAAAAACAAAAAUCAGGACAAUAUCAGAACGGCACAUACAAGUGUCCCCAAGUCAUAUUUGGAAUAAGAUCACUUGGGAACACAAGUCAAAGAAGGACACAGUGUUCUGCCUCUCCUGAGUAAGCAGCAACAACGCACCAUCUUGGAAUCAGGGGACGGCCCUCACCAGACAACUAAAUCUGCAGACACCUUGGACUUCCCAGCCUCCAGAACUGUCUUUCUGGCAACUGUCUAAACAUAAACCAGAGAAGGGCAAGGCAGACUCAGGAAGGACAAAUAGAAGGCUAUUUUCAUAAAUCGGACCACCACCACAUGUGCAGCAUCCCUCUGGGUCUCUUCCAUGACAACCCUGUGGGAAGCCAGCUUGGCAGGUCACCUUGUUCUAGCAGAUAGAAACUGAAUCAAUAUGGGAAGAGCCAGAAUUUGGACAAGGUUCACCAAACAUUCACACUGAUGCCAGGUGGGCCAAGAAAAAGGGAAUGUCCUGCCUCUGAGAAACUCAUCAUACAGUUUGGAGAUAACAUUUGUUGAAGGAGAGAAGAAAAGAGGAGAGAGGAAUGGAGUGAGGCAGAAAGGAAAUGAUGACGAGCUACUCUUCAAAAUUAAGCUGGAUAACAACAAGAAAUUCUAGAAAGCAAUUGAGGCAACCUCCACCCUAAGACCCAGGUAAACCCUACAUUUAAAGUGCUGUUCUGGGGCACAGUGAAAGAUUUCUGCCAGAAAAUUUGCUCCCUAGGAUUUACAUGAUGAUGAGAUUACAUGCUGCCUUGUGGCAACAAAAUCAAAAGUCUGUAAAAGAAAAAGCGUGCUAUGCUUCUGAAUGUUUGGAGAUCCUACAAUAGAUUUUUCAUUCAGCUAUUUUGUUGCUGCUUCAUGAGCACA